rnacentral:rRNA from 1 species
CCUACGGGUGGCAGCAGUGGGGAAUAUUGGGCAAUGGGCGCAAGCCUGACCCAGCAACGCCGCGUGAAGGAAGAAGGCUUUCGGGUUGUAAACUUCUUUUGUCAGGGAAGAGUAGAAGACGGUACCUGACGGAUAAGCCACGGCUAACUACGUGCCAGCAGCCGCGGUAAUACGUAGGUGGCAAGCGUUGUCCGGAUUUACUGGGUGUAAAGGGCGUGUAGCCGGGUUGGCAAGUCCGAUGUGAAAUCCUGCGGCUUAACCGCAGAACUGCAUUUGAAACUGUUGAUCUUGAGUACUGGAGAGGCAGAUGGAAUUCCUAGUGUAGCGGUGAAAUGCGUAGAUAUUAGGAGGAACACCAGUGGCGAAGGCGGUCUGCUGGACAGCAACUGACGGUGAGGCGCGAAAGCGUGGGGAGCAAACAGGAGUAGAUACCCCAGUAGUC